ACGAACGCUGGCGGCGUGCUUAACACAUGCAAGUCGAGCGGUAAGGCCCUUUCGGGGUACGACGAGCGGCGAACGGGUGAGUAACACGUGGGUGACCUGCCCUCCAGCUCUGGGAGUAAGCCUGGGAAACCGGGUACUAAUACCGGAUAUGACUCCAUGACGCAUGUUGUGGGGUGGAAAGCCUUGUGCGGCUGAGGAUGGGCCCGCGGCCUAUCAGCUUGUUGGUGGGGUGAUGGCCUACCAAGGCGACGACGGGUAGCCGGCCUGAGAGGGCGACCGGCCACACUGGGACUGAGACACGGCCCAGACUCCUACGGGAGGCAGCAGUGGGGAAUCUUGCGCAAUGGGCGAAAGCCUGACGCAGCGACGCCGCGUGAGGGAU
rnacentral:rRNA from 1 species